GACAGAGGGUGCGAACGUUGUUCGGAAUUACUGGGCGUAAAGCGCGUGUAGGCGGCGUGGCAAGUCGGGUGUGAAAGCCCCGGGCUCAACCCGGGAAGUGCAUUCGAUACUGCCGCGCUGGAGUCUCGGAGAGGAUGGCGGAAUUCUCGGUGUAGAGGUGAAAUUCGUAGAUAUCGAGAGGAACACCGGUGGCGAAGGCGGCCAUCUGGACGGUGACUGACGCUGAGACGCGAAAGCGUGGGGAGCGAACAGG
rnacentral:rRNA from 1 species